rnacentral:rRNA from 1 species
CUUCUUGUUUAUAUAGGAAGUCGUGCCUGCUCACUGUAAAAUAAAGAGCCGCGGUAUUUUGACCGUGCAAAGGUAGCAUAAUCAUUAGUUUUUUAAUUAAGAACUGGAAUGAAGGGUUUGACGAAAUAAUUACUGUCUUGAAAUUAUUUAUUGAAUUUUACUUUUGGGUUAAAAGGCUUAAAUUAUGAUGGGGGACGAUAAGACCCUAUAGAUCUUUAUAUUUUAUUAUAAAUUAAUUGAUUUAGUUGUUUAUUUAUAAUAUAUAAUAAAUUAUUUGAUUGGGGUGAUGAGGGAAUAAUUUAACUUCUCUAAGAAUAACAUAGAUAUAUGAAAUAUUUAUCUUUUAAUAGGAAAUUAAGAUUAAGAUACCUUAGGGAUAACAGCGUUAUAUUAUUGGAGAGAUCUAAUCGAUAAUAAUGAUUGCGACCUCGAUGUUGGAUUAAAAUUACUUAUGGGUGUAAAAGCUUAUGAAGUUGGUCUGUUC